rnacentral:rRNA from 1 species
UACCCGCAGCACAAGUGGUGGCCAUUAUUAUUGGGCCUAAAGCGUCCGUAGCUGGUUUGUUAAAUGCCUGGGUAAAUCGAUGCGCUUAACGUAUCGAACUCCGGGUAGACUGGCAAACUCGAGACCGGGAGAGGUGUAGGCUACUCGCGGGGUAGGGGUAAAAUCCUGUAAUCCUGCGGGGAGGACCAGUGGCGAAGGCGCUACACUAGAACGGCUCUGACAGUGAGGGACGAAGCCCUGGGGCGCAAACCGG